rnacentral:rRNA from 1 species
UACGUAGGGUGCAAGCGUUGUCCGGAAUUAUUGGGCGUAAAGAGCUCGUAGGCGGUUUGUCGCGUCUGCUGUGAAAUCCCGAGGCUCAACCUCGGGCUUGCAGUGGGUACGGGCAGACUAGAGUGCGGUAGGGGAGAUUGGAAUUCCUGGUGUAGCGGUGGAAUGCGCAGAUAUCAGGAGGAACACCGAUGGAGCGAAGGCAGAGUCUCUGGGCCGUAACUGGACGCUGAGGAGACGAAAGCGUGGGGAGCGAACAGG